rnacentral:tRNA from 1 species
GCGCGAGUGGCGAAAUGGCAGACGCGCUGGCUUCAGGUGCCAGUGUCCGUAAGGACGUGGGGGUUCAAGUCCCCCCUCGCGCA